rnacentral:rRNA from 1 species
GCAAAUCCGCUGAACUUAAGCAUAUUAUUAAGCGGAAGAAAAGAAAAUAACAAUGAUUCUUUUAGUAACGGCGAGUGAACAAAGAAAAGCUCAACAUGGAAAAUCCGACAGAUAGCUACCCGCGAUUUGUCGGAAUUGUCAAGUUGAAAAACAUUCCAAGAGUUCUUUUUUAUAAUAUGACAAUGAGAAGAAGUAGAUAGAAAUGUCUCUCCUUAGAGGGUGAAAGACCCGUAUUCUUAAUCAUAAAACUGAUCAAUUGGAAUGUUUUGUUUUUGAGUCGUGUUCUUUGAGACUGGAGCACUAAUUAGUGUGAUACAUUUCACAUAAAGCUAAAUAUUUGUAAGAAACCGAUAGUAAACAAGUACCGUGAGGGAAAGAUGAAAUAGUACUCAGGAAUGAGCAAUUAAAUAGUACCUGAAAUCGUUAAGAUGGAACGGAUUAAAAAAGGAAAAAAGUAACAACAUAGUUAAAAUGAGAGAUUUUGGUGCGCGCAAUAAAGAAUGGAGUCCUUAAAAAAGGAUGUAGAUAUUCAAGUAUCAAAACAAAAUUUUUCUUUUUUUAAAAAGAAAUUUUUUGAAGCUUUUGUUAUAAUAUUCAUUUUUAUUCUUAUCCUUUUUUUUAGGUAAGAUAAAAAUGAUACAAAAGUUGUCUUUCAUACUAUAUAUAUAUAUAUAUAUAUAUAUAAAUAUUAUGUUCUUAUUAAAAGAAACAUGAGUGAAUGAAAAUAAAUAAUCGUGGAGCAAAAAUAAACACAAUAACAAGAAAAAAAAAUAAAAAAAAUAAAAUAAAAUAAUUAAAAUAAAAAUAAAACAAAAAGAAACAAAAAAAAGCAAAAUAUAAAAUAAAAGAAUUAAUUGAAUUUAAUUUCAUUUUAUUUUUUUCCUUUUAUAUUUUGCUUUUUUAUUUUGUUUUAUUUUUAUUUUAAUUAUUAUUUUUUUUUUUUUUUUUUUUUCCCUUAUUGACUAUUUUUCUAAGCUAAUGUGGAAAAAUAUAACUUGCUUCUUUUUUUUUUUUUCUUUUCUGAAGGGAGAAAAAAAAGAAAAAUAUGAAAGAUACAUUUAUUUAAUUUACUGAGGAUUGUGAAAAUUAUAUUAAUUGUAUAUGAUGCGAAAUAAUAUAAUUAAGAUGUUUUUAUAAAGUACUUUUUUAACCCACUCGUCUUGAAACACGGACCAAGGAGUCUAACAAAUGUGCAAGUGUAUAUGAUAAGAAUAAACAUAGUAUAAAAAUUUCUACGCAUAAUUAAUGUAACAAAAAUAUAUGUUUAUUAAUUGUAGAUUUUGUGGGGUUUUAAAUUUUUUUUAUAAAUCCACACAAAUGCAUACAAUACCGGUGAGCAAUUAUGCUUUAUUGAGUAAGAGCAUACUUGUUAGGACCCGAGAGGCUUUGAACUAAACGUGAUGAGAUUGAAGUCAGAGUAAAAUCUGAUGGAGGAUCGAGUUGAUACUGACGUGCAAAUCGUUCAUUUCAAUUGCGUUUAGGGGCGAAAGACUAAUCGAAAAGCCUAUUAGCUGGUUAUUUUCGAAAGAUCUCUCAGGAUCGCUGGAGUUGAUUAUAAUAUAGUUUUACCUGGUAGAAAUAAUGAUUAGAGGAUUCAAGGAGAUGAUAAUUCCUUGACCUAUAUAUAUCGAAAGAUUCAAUAGGUAAAAAAAUGAGGAAAUAACUUUAUUGUAUUUUCAUUCAUAUUUAAAAAUAAGAUAACUCCAAGUUGGCCAUUUUUGGUAAGCAGAACUGGCGAUGAGGGAUGCUCCUAACGCUUGGAUAAGGUGCCUAAAUAUCCGCUCAUUAGAUACCAUUAAAAAGGUGUUGGUUUGUGAUUACAGUAGGACGGUAUUCAUAGAAGUUGAAAUCCGCUAGGAAGUGUGUAACAACUUACCUACCUAAUAAACUCGCCCUGAAAAUGGAUGGCGCUAAAGCGGAUUACCGAUACCAAGCCAUAAAAAAAAAAAAAAAAAAAAUUCAAUAUUUUUUUUAUUUUUUUAGAUUCUUUUUAUGAGUAGAAAAUCGUGGGGUUUUGUGUUGAAGCGAAAUACGUGAGUUUUCGUGGAACAUCUCCCUAGUGCAGAUCUUGGUGGAAGUAGCAAAUAUUCUUAUGAGAACUUUGAAGACUGAAGUGGAGAAGGGUUUUUUGUAAACUAUGUUUGAGCAAAAGUUAGCCGUUCCUAAGAGAUAGCUGAAAAGCGUUAUAAAUUGAGGUUACCUAUUAUAUGAAAAGUAUAGUAGUGUUUUUUCUCUUCUCGAAAGGGAAGCAGGUUGAUAUUCCUGCGCCAUAUGUAAUAAGAACUAAUAAAUAGAGAUGGUAACAUAUAUAUAAAUAAAUGAACUCCUUAACAUAGGCCUUACGCUUGGAGUGCGUUAUCUUUGCACUUUAACUUUAUAUCAAACCUUCGAAAUCGAUUUACUUGUAGAAAAGGUUCGAUGAAUUUACAAUAAGCAAUUUAUUUAUUAUAUGCGUGGACCGGUACACAUGAUAUAUAUAUUAAUGAAUUGUUUUGUAGUAAUAGUAAUUCGUUUGUUGUACGAAUUAUCCAAAGUUGUAUGGACUAUCCAUGAAAAAAGGAGGGAACACUAAAUUAAAUGGGAAUGUAUAAAAUACUAUAAAAGUAUGAAAGAAGAAAAAGUAAAGAAAGGAAAGAAAAAAAAAUAUUAACCUUCAGCUUUUUUUUCUAUUUUUUUUUUCUUUUUUUGCUUUCAUAUAUUUUUAUAGUGUUUUUACAUUAACCAUUUUUUUUUUUAUAUUCUUAAAUUACAAUUAUAAAAAUGAACGUACCAAUAACCGCAUCAGGUCUCCAAGGUUAGUAGCCUCUGGUUAAAUAGAAAAACGUAGGUAAGGGAAGUAAGCAAAUUAGAUCCGUAACUUCGGGAAAAGGAUUGGCUCUGAUAACACAAAAUGAGAAGAAAAAAAUGAAAAGAAAAAAAUGAAAAGAAUUGUGGUUGAAAAUAAAAAUGUUAAGAUGUUUAUUUAUAUAUUUAUAUUAGUUUUUCUUAUAUUUUAAGAUUAAUUAAUUAAUUAUAUAUUUAAUAUGUUAAAAUGUUUUAUAUUUCUUCUUCUACUCUAUUCUAUUCCAUUCUAUUCUAUUCUAUUUUUUUUUUUCUCUUUCUCUUCGAUAUUACAUAUAUUUUGUUAUUAUAAUAAAAAUUAUGUAAUAUUGUUUAGCUGUGUUUAUUCAGAACUGAAACGGACAAGGGGAAUCCGACUGUUUAAUAAAAACAUAGCAUUGUGAAAAGCUAUAACUGGUAUUAACACAAUGUGAUUUCUGCCCAGUGCUUUGAAUGUCAAGUUGAUGAAAAUUUCAAUUAAGCGCAGGUAAACGGCGGGAGUAACUAUUAUGACUCUCUUAAGGUAGCCAAAAAUGUAUGGUCGAUAAAAAGGACCAUCAGGAAUGGAUUAACGAGAUUCCUACUGUCCCUACUUGCGAUCUAGCGAAACCACAACCAAGGGAAAGGGCUUGGUAAAAUCAGCAGGGAAAGAAGACCCUGUUGUGCUUUACUCUAGUCUGACUUUGUAAAAAGAUUUAAGAGGUAUAGUAUAAGUGGUAGUAGAAAUUGAAAUAAUGUUUUUACGUCAGUGAAAUACCACUACUUUUAAAAAGUUUUUACUAAUCCAUUUAUCUAGUGAAUGACUAUUAUAUAAAUAUAUAUAUAUAUAUAUAUUUUCUAUAUUUUAUGUGUAUCACUUUUUAUGGAGACAGAGUCAGGUGGGGAGUUUGACUAAGGUGGUACAUCUGUUAAAAAAUAACGCAGAUGUCCAAAGAUAAGCUCAAGGAGAACAGAAAUCUCUUGUAGACUAAAAGGGGAAAAGCUUGUUUGAUUUCUAUUUUCAGAAAGAAUAGAAAACGUGAAAACGUGGCCUAUCGAUCCUUUAUAUUUGCAAAAUGACGUAAAAUUAUUUACUACUGUGCAUAUAAAGGUGUCUGAAAAGUUACCACAGGGAUAACUUGUUUGUGGCUGCUUAGCGAUAUUAGCAACGUGGCUUUUUGUAUUUUCGAUUACGGCUCUUCCUAUCAUUGGGACGCAGAAGUCUCAAAGUGUCGGAUUGUUCACCCGCUAAUAGGGAACGUGAGCUGGGUUUAGACCGUCGUGAGACAGGUUAGUUUUACCCUACUGAUGAAUAUUAUUAUAUUAUUAUAUAUAUAUAUAGUAUUGUGACAGUAAUCCAACUUGGUACGAGAGGAUUAGUUGGUUCAGACAAUUGGUACAGCAAUUGGGUUGAUAAACCAGUGUUGCGAAGCUACGUCUGUUGGAUAAUGACUGAACGAUUCUAAAGUCAGAACCCAUACUGAUUAAACAAUAAUAUAAUUGUAUAUUUUUGUUAUAAGGUUGUGUUUUAUUUUUUUUUAUUGCUAAUGUAAAAGAGAAAUUUAAUAUA